CUUAUUUUAAGAAUAAUUAUAAACGUCAAUCGAAACAGGCUCAAAGAUCACAUUUUUGUUCCGUAGGUGCAGAGAUCAGAAAAUGGGAAGCGUUCCACUUUCCUCAUCGUCUCUAUUGAAUUUCAGGUCCUACUCAUCCUCCAUUUUUGGAAGACCAUCAUCAACUUUUUCUUGUCCUCACCGGCGAUUCAGAAAGGCACAAACACUGUCUGUUUCCUGCGAUUACUCCUCCUUCGAAAGAUUAUUGAACAUAUUUUGGUUGUAUAGUGGAGGUGGUAAUAAUAGAUGUGGAACCUUUUUCUUUUUUAUGGGUUUGGAGAUAAGGGAUGUCUCUUAUCGACCUCCAGGGACCAAGAUCGAUCUAUUGAGUCAAGUCAGCUUUUCCAUCCCUGAGAAAAGUUUUGGCUUGAUAUUUGGACGGAGUGGCAGUGGAAAAACUACUUUAUUGCAGCUGAUUGCAGGGUUAAGCCAACCAACAACAGGUUCCAUAUAUGUGCAAAGAUAUAGUGAUGAUGGUGAAAAGAUUAAGUCUCCUGAACCCUUACAACCUGAGAGAGUUGGCAUUGUUUUCCAAUUUCCCGAGAGAUACUUUGUUGCAGACACUGUUCUUGAUGAAGUUACAUUUGGCUGGCCAAGACAAAAGGGUGGCCUACAAUUAAGAGAGCUUCUUGCUUCUAGACUUCAAAAAGCCAUUACCUCGGUUGGUCUAACAGGAAUAUCAUUGGAUAAGGAUCCCCAUUCAUUAAGCGGUGGCUACAAACGUCGGCUAGCCCUUGCCAUUCAGUUAGUUCAAACACCAGAUUUAUUAAUAUUGGAUGAGCCUCUUGCUGGUCUUGCAGAUUGGAAGGCUCGUGCAGAUGUGGUGAAAUUGUUGAAGCAUCUAAAGGAGGAGCUAACUUUACUUGUUGUCAGCCAUGACCUCAAGGAGUUGGCAUCUUUGGUAGAUCAAUCUUGGAGGAUGGAAAUGGGAGGAGCACUUAAAAGAGAGCCACUACCCAUUUAAUACUCGGAAUUUAUAAAGUUCCCAACAAUCAUUUCUGAUGCAACCCCGAGCCUGUAAAAUCACACAUCAAAGUAUACUAGGCCUUUGAGAAUCCAUGACAUCUGCAUUAGGAGCUGUGGAGCCUUAAAUUUGGCUGGUUGCUUUUCACCAUCUCCUUCAUGAAAUAUGUUCCACAUCUACCAUUUGCUUGUUUAUUCUCUUUCCCAUAUUUAGCUGAACGAUUCUCUUGGACUAUGUGCUUCCUUUUAAGGAGUUUCUUCUGGUGAUCCUUUUUGAUCCUUUACCUCUAUCUCUGUCCUUAAAGUUCAACUGAAGAACUGGAAAGGUGUUUCUGGAGUGGAGUUUUUUCCACGACAAUGCUUUCAGCAAUUCCUCUUUCAAUCUGUUUGCCAUUGAUAAUGCUUGCAUGUCUGCUUCUGUUGGAUGAUUCAUAAGCACCUUCAUUCACUUCUGCUUCAGUGAACUAUUCUAGCUUCUUGUUAUAUAAGCUUAAGUUCUCUCUC